AGCUCCAAUAGCGUAUAUUAAUGUUGUUGCAGUUAAAAAGCUCGUAGUUGGAUUUCUGACAGGAGCGACCGGUCCGAGCUUCAAGUUCGUGUUACUUGUGUUGUCUCUAGUCAUCCUUAUGGAGAACAAGUGUGGCAUUAAGUUGUUGUGCUUGGGACCCAUAUCGUUUACUGUGAAAAAAUUAGAGUGUUCAAAGCAGGCAAUUGCCGUGAAUAUUACAGCAUGGAAUAAUAAGAUAGGACGUUGGUACUAUUUUGUUGGUUUGCAUACCAAGGUAAUGAUUAAGAGGGACAGUUGGGGGUAUUCGUAUUUAUAUGUCAGAGGUGAAAUUCUUGGAUUUUAGAAAGACGAACUACUGCGAAAGCAUUUACCAAGGAUGUUUUCAUUAAUCAAGAACGAA
rnacentral:rRNA from 1 species